UACGAAGGGUGCAAACGUUGCUCGGAAUUAUUGGGCGUAAAGCACACGUAGGCGGCUUAGCAAGUCGGAAGUGAAAUCCCACGGCUCAACCAUGGAAGUGCUUUCGAAACUGCUGAGCUUGAGUACGAAAGAGGAUCGCGGAAUUCCCGGUGUAGAGGUGAAAUUCGUAGAUAUCGGGAGGAACACCAGUGGCGAAGGCGGCGAUCUGGGUCGAUACUGACGCUGAGGUGCGAAAGCGUGGGGAGCAAACAGG
rnacentral:rRNA from 1 species